AGAAGAAGAAGGAAGAAGAAGAAGAAUGAAGAAGAAGAAGGAAGAAGAAGAAGAAGGAAGAAGAAGAAGAAGAAGGAAGAAGAAGAAGAAGAAGAAGAAGAUGAUGAAGAAGAAGAUGGCAAACCGUGGAAACUUGGAGGACGUCCGUAAUCGCGUUGUUUUAGGAGAAUUUUGCGUGAGAAAUGUUCACACAACGGAUUUUCCUGGAAACUACCCCGGCUAUAAUGACACUUGGGAUAUGCAGAAAUUCCAAAAGCACUUCAGAAUUGAUGUUGGAGAGCUCACUGAAAACUUGAUGGAGUUUGACAUGGUGGGGGUCGAUGCAGCUAUCGCCAAUGCUUUCAGAAGGAUCUUACUAGCAGAGGUGCCCACCAUGGCCAUUGAGAAAGUUUUUAUUUAUAACAACACAUCGAUCGUCCAAGAUGAAGUGCUGGCACAGAGAUUAGGCCUCAUCCCCAUCAAAGCUGACCCCUCUCUGUUUGAGUACAGAAGUAUUGAUAAGGAGUCCGCAGAGGACAAAGUUUCGGAAAUAGACACAAUUCAGCUACACUUGAAGAUUAAAUGCAACAAGGAUGCAAGCGCAAGCAAAGAUUCUUCAGAUCCACGGGAACUUUAUUUGAACGGCAAAGUCUAUUCCAGAGAUAUAAAAUGGGUCCCAAUUGGUAACCAGACAGAUGUGUUUGCUGACUCCAGUAUUGAACCCGUACAUGAUGACAUCCUUAUCGCGCUACUCUGUCCCGGACAGGAACUCGACAUUGUCAUGCACUGUGUCAAAGGAAUUGGGAAGGAUCACGCCAAGUUCUCUCCUGUGGCCACAGCAAGUUACCGCCUCCUACCAGAGAUCACCCUCCUUGAAACAGUGCAGGGAGAGAAGGCAGAACGCCUCAAACGUUGCUUUUCACAAGGAGUUAUAGAACUGGAAGAUGAUAACGGGAGCAAGGUCGCUAAAGUUGUCAACAGUCGCUUGGAUACGUGCAGCAGAGAAGUUCUCCGUCAUGAUGACUUAAAAAAUGUGGUAAAACUUGGACGUGUGCGAGACCACUUUAUCUGUAAGUUAAUUUAGUUCUUGCAUUUCAUGUCCACACUGUAUUAGAACUUGUAAACUGAAGCAGCCAUUAAUUAGUCCCCGUGGGGCGAUCUCUCAUAAGCAACGGGGAAAAUCAUUUUAAAGUUUUAUGACUUGAAUAUGAAUGAUAUGAAAACAUAAGUGAUGGUAUUUGUUCCCAAUGGCCCAUUUAAAUCACACUGUGUUGACCUGACCUAACAAACGAGUGUGUGUGUGUGUGUGUG